UACGUAGGGGGCGAGCGUUGUCCGGAAUUAUUGGGCGUAAAGCGCGCGCAGGCGGUCUCUUAAGUCUGAUGUGAAAGCCCACGGCUCAACCGUGGAGGGUCAUUGGAAACUGGGGGACUUGAGGGCAGGAGAGGAGAGCGGAAUUCCACGUGUAGCGGUGAAAUGCGUAGAGAUGUGGAGGAACACCAGUGGCGAAGGCGGCUCUCUGGCCUGCACCUGACGCUGAGGCGCGAAAGCGUGGGGAG
rnacentral:rRNA from 1 species